rnacentral:rRNA from 1 species
UACGGGGGGGGCAAGCGUUGUUCGGAAUUACUGGGCGUAAAGCGUGCGCAGGCGGCUUCUCAAGUCAGGGGUGAAAGCCCAGAGCUCAACUCUGGAAUUGCCUUUGAGACUGAGAGGCUUGAGUACGGGAGAGGUGAGUGGAAUUCCCAGUGUAGAGGUGAAAUUCGUAGAUAUUGGGAAGAACACCGGUGGCGAAGGCGGCUCACUGGCCCGAAACUGACGCUCAUGCACGACAGCGUGGGGAUCAAACAGG